rnacentral:sRNA from 1 species
UAAUAGCCCCGAUUGCAGCGGAAAUCCUUUUUAUGAAGUUGUAAACAAAAUAAAAAGAUUGAAGCGGAAAGCGGGACCAAAC